GGCGGUCUGUCAAGUCGGAUGUGAAAUCCCCGGGCUCAACCUGGGAWCUSCAUUCGAAACUGGCAGGCUAGAGUCUUGUAGAGRGGGGUAGAAUUCCAGGUGUAGCGGUGAAAUGCGUAGAGAUCUGGAGGAAUACCGGUGGCGAAGGCGGCCCCCUGGACAACGACUGACGCUCAGGUGCGAAAGCGUGGGGAGCAAACAGRAUUAGAUACCCUGGUAGUCCACGCCGUAAACGAUGUCGACUUGGAGGUUGUGCCCUUGAGGCGUGGCUUCCGGAGGUAACGCGUUAAGUCGACCCCCUGGGGAGUACGGCCGCAAGGUUAAAACUCAAAUGAAUUGACGGGGGCCCGCACAAGCGGUGGASCAUGUGGUUUAAUUCGAUGCAACGCGAAGACCCUUACCUACUCUUGACAUCCAGAGAACUUUCCAGAGAUGGAUUGGUGCCUUCGGGAACUCUGAGACAGGUGCUGCAUGGCUGUCGUCAGCUCGUGUUGUGAAAUGUUGGGUUAAGUCCCGCAACGAGCGCAACCCUUAUCCUUUGUUGCCAGCGGUUAGGCCGGGAACUCAAAGGAGACUGCCAGUGAUAAACUGGAGGAAGGUGGGGAUGACGUCAAGUCAUCAUGGCCCUUACGAGUAGGGCUACACACGUGCUACAAUGGCGCAUACAAAGAGAAGCGACCUCGCGAGAGCAAGCGGACCUCAUAAAGUGCGUCGUAGUCCGGAUUGGAGUCUGCAACUCGACUCCAUGAAGUCGGAAUCGCUAGUAAUCGUAGAUCAGAAUGCUACGGUGAAUACGUUCCCGGGCCUUGUACMCMCCSCCCGYCMCMCCAUGGRAGUGGGUUSCAMAARAAGWAGGUASCUUAACCYUCGGGAGGGCGCU
rnacentral:rRNA from 1 species